GUUUUUAGAAUUUUUCAGUUUUUAUCUAUAAUGUUUGACUCUUCGUCUUAUUUAAAAAUUUCUUGUGAUUAAUAUUUUUAUUUUUACUAGAUGAUAAAACAUGAAUAAUACUUUACGCAUGACCAAUUUGUAUAAUUUUUUCUAAAAAAAUUCAAAUAGGACAGAUGGUCAAACGCUGGACCCAAAAACCAAAAUUUGC
rnacentral:pre_miRNA from 1 species